rnacentral:rRNA from 1 species
CCUACGGGAGGCAGCAGUGAGGAAUAUUGGUCAAUGGCCGCAAGUCUGAACCAGCCAAGCCGCGUGAAGGACGAAGGUGCCACGCAUUGUAAACUUCUUUUGUCAAGGGACAAAAUCAGGCUCGAGAGCCUGACCGAGGGUGCUUCAAGAAAAAGAAUCGGCUAACUCCGUGCCCGCAGCCGCGGUAAUACGGAGGAUGCGAGCGUUAUCCGGGUUUAUUGGGUUUAAAGGGUGCGUAGGCGGCCUGUUAAGUCAGCGGUAAAAGCCCGGGGCUCAACGCCGACGAGCAGUUGAAACUGGCGGUCUUGAGAUGUCGAGAGGUAGGCGGAAUGCGCGGUGUAGCGGUGAAAUGCUUAGAUAUCGCGAAGAACUCCGAUUGCGAAGGCAGGAUACCGGGGGGGAUCUGACGCUGAGGCACGAAAGCGUGGGUAUCGAACAGGAUUAGAUACCCGAGUAGUC